rnacentral:rRNA from 1 species
CAUAUCGUCGGUGAGCCGGCGGUAAUACGCCGGUUCAAUAUCAAAAUCCUAUCGCGGUGCUCUUCGGUGAGUGUCGAGGUGGGCCGACAAUUUUACUUUGAACAAAUUAGAGUGCUCAAAGCGGGCUCAAAAUGCUGCUUGAAUAUUUCGUGCAUGGAAUAAUAGAAUAUGAUCUCGGUUCUAUUUUGUUGGUUUUCAGAACUCCGAGGUAAUGAUUAAUAGGGAUAACUGGGGGCAUUCGUAUUGCGACGUUAGAGGUGAAAUUCUUGGAUCGUCGCAAGACGAACAUCAGCGAAAGCAUUUGCCAAAGGUGUUUUCAUCAAUCAGGAACGAAAGUUAGAGGUUCGAAGGCGAUUAGAUACCGCCCUAGUUCUAACCGUAAAUAUGUCAUCUAGCGAUCCGCCGACGUUACUACAAUGGCUCGGCGGGCAGCUUCCGGGAAACCAAAGAUUUUGGACUCCGGGGGGAGUAUGGUUGCAAAGCUGAAACUUAAAGGAAUUGACGGAAGGGCACCACCAGGAGUGGAGCCUGCGGCUUAAUUUGACUCAACACGGGAAAUCUCACCAGGCCCGGACACCGGAAGGAUUGACAGAUUAACAGCUCUUUCUUGAUUCGGUGGGUGGUGGUGCAUGGCCGUUCUUAGUUGGUGGAGCGAUUUGUCUGGUUAAUUCCGGUAACGAACGAGACUCUAGCCUGCUAAAUAGGCGUCGUCAUUUAGGUGUGCGUGGCCACGUGUCACGCAACUCACUGGCGACGUAUUAAAAUUCUUCUUAGAGGGACCGGCGGCUUCGAGCCGCACGAGAUUGAGCAAUAACAGGUCUGUGAUGCCCUUAGAUGUCCUGGGCCGCACGCGCGCUACACUGAAGGAAUCAGCAUGUUCUCCCUGGCCUAGAGGCCCGGGCAACCCGCUGAAACUCCUUCGUGCUGGGGAUUGGGGUUUGCAAUUAUCCCCCAUAAACGAGGAAUUCCUAGUAAGCGCGAGUCAUAAGCUCGCGUUGAUUACGUCCCUGCCCUUUGUACACACCGCCCGUCGCUACUACCGAUUGAAUGAUUUAGUGAGUCUUCGGACGACACGCGUGCUUUCACGCCGUCGGCGUUGCUGGAAAGUUGACC